AUUCUUGACUAUUAAGCAAUGGAUAAACUUAACGUAUGAACAAAAACCAAAGAUAAGAAGUUUUCAAAUCAAAACUAAUAAAUUGCCAGAGAUUACAGGUAAGGGGGUUGGUUACACAGAAGGAUGGUGUUAGCAUCCAAAGUGUCAUAGGUACUCCUAGGAGACCUUCUUUAUAUGUGUAUGUGCUUUUGGUAGAAAAGAUGUUUGAGAAAAAUAGAGUGUGUGGAUGAGAAAAUAAUUCAUUGAUU
rnacentral:lncRNA from 1 species